rnacentral:rRNA from 1 species
UACGUAGGGGCCGAGCGUUGUCCGGAGUUAUUGGGCGUAAAGCGCGCGCAGGCGGCCUCGCGCGCCCGACGUGAAAGCCCCCGGCUUAACCGGGGAGGGUCGUUGGGGACGGCGGGGCUUGAGGGCGGGAGAGGGCGGUGGAAUUCCCGGUGUAGUGGUGAAAUGCGUAGAGAUCGGGAGGAACACCUGUGGCGAAGGCGGCCGUCUGGGCCGACCCUGACGCUGAGGCGCGAAGACGUGGGGAGCGAACGGG